AAAAGGCUGAUCUGAAAAGAAUUGCUAAAGCUACAGUUUCUUGCCAAUUCUUGCUACAAUUAUUCGGCUGUCAAAUAUAUGGUAUCAAGGGGAACGAUUUUUAAAUAUGUGUGCUGGCAUGUAGAGACAACAUUUCAAACCGAAAUGUUAUAAACUAUCUAAAUUACUUGAUUGGUUCCAUCAAAUACGGAUACGCGAUCCAGUCGAAGAUGGUUACAGACGA